GUAUCUCGCUGCUCACAGUAUCUCACUCCUUUUCUAAUUUAAUGAGUUUUGGAGAAGCGACGAUAUCUGCACCUCGCCAUAACUACGAAUCCAAUUUAAAAGAAAUCCUAUGUUUUCAACACACCUGGUGCUGAAGCAGCACUUUACCAACUUCAAAGGGAAUGCAUAUAGCUUCUGGAGCGUUGCUGACUCAAUUACUUCUUACACAUAAAUGAAUCAUGCAUCGUGGAGCUGACGGGAGCCGUGGGCAGAGGUCAGCAGUCCGGCCGCUACCUUCACCUCACACCAGCCCUGCAAACAGGGAAUGUCCCACCAGCACGUCCAGCAGGUUUUGUUUGAAAUGUGUUGAUGUCUCACACUUUGAUUGGUCUGUUAAGGUCAGUGAUACAUCUGAUAGGUCAACUGGACUCCAAGGUGGGCUGCUUCUCAGGGAUUUUAAAAACAGAGCCGGUGCCACAGGUGGAGCCGCGGGGCAUGAGCGCACCAUCCAGAGGCGGUGACCUCUGAGGGGCCCAUGGAGUGGGUAGGGGGCCGGCUGGGAGAGCUCUUUGAUGGAGUCCACAUACUCCUCCAUGGUGUGAGAGGAGCAGUCCGGGUCUCCUUCUUCUGUGUCAGUCUCCUGCAUUUCACUGAUGGUAGGAAGUCUGUCCACAGCGGACAGCAGCCAUCUGGACUUCAUCCUGCAAAGGAAGGUGCACCUUUAAUGGAGGAGACCGAAACCUUUACCACCACAGGAUAAAAUCUGAACAGAGCCACAAAACACACCCAAGCCUUACGGAGAUGACCAUCAAUAUUAGUAAUAGUUUAAAUCAUUUUAGCAUCCAUGGCUAUGCUUGUUGGCUUUUUAUUGUUUCAAACUUUAACUUUGUUUUGUUGAAUUUAUGAAAUUGCUGUUUUCACUGAAAACAAAUUAGCGCAUUUGGGCUGACUGUAAAACACAGCACCUAUGAGACUAUCAUGGUCCGGGCCUUCAGCCUUGUGUCGAGAAAGGUCUGGCUGCAGCCACCGUGGAGCUCCACAGUAGGCAGAAACACAUGACCUCUAAAGUAGGCGGAGACAUGUCACAGCCACAGUAGGCGGAGACACGUCACUGCCACAGUAGGCAGAAACACGUGACAUAGAUACGAUGGAAACCGCGCCAAUGGAUCGUAAAGGCUGGGACAGAGUCAUUCAUAUAGAUGCUCAUGGCUGAGUAGCCGGCCUGAAUUCGAAUCCGACCCGUGGCUCUUUGCCACAUGUGUUACCUGCUCUCACUCCCUCUGCUUUCCUGUCACUCUUCACUGUACCCUUUCAAAUAAAACCAUAAAAAUGGCAAAAAACAGAACCAUAACCCCUAACCAUACUGUGGAGGUCACGUGUUUCUGCCCACUGUGGAGCUCCACAGUGGCUGCACCCAUUUGCUCUUGCUUGUGUCUUGCAUUUAUUUUUACUUCCUGUAUCUUGUUAUCCCUUGAUUGUUUGCACCUGUUUGUUUACCCACCUGUCCCACUUUCCCCCAGUGGGGCCCUUUGCGUAUUCACAGCCUCAGUCCUCUCUUUGUCC
ensembl:lncRNA